UUCAAAAGCUAUCCUCUCAUCUCUCAUUUCAUACAACCCUCAUCAAAUCUAGAGAGAGAAAGAGACACAUCUCCAUCGUUUCUCUCUUGCUUGUCUAUCUACCUUGUCCUCUAAUUGAUUUGGUUUUGUUUUCAGGGAGAUUUAAUUUGCUGAAAGAUCAAGACCAUGACCACGACCAGUUACGCCCCUGAUGACGUUGAUGGUGAGUUAUGUAUCAGAGAUUCAGAGCAAGCCCUAGCCCUAGAUUUCAAUAAUGUCAUCUAAGCAAGAGGUGAGCUAGCUAUGCUCAAUACAGAAGGUUGGACAAUUUCAGAAGCUGCGACUAAACCAGCUGCAAUGGAAUCUCAGCUUUGAUUAUGUUGCUUUAUUUGUUGCAAGAAAUGGAGUCGCAGAUUGUUGAGCUUCAUGGUGACCUGGCGGGUUAUGAAGAUGCUACAAUAGUGACCAGAAUUGGAACAAUAGAUGGCGGGCGAAACAACUCAUGAUCCG